rnacentral:tRNA from 1 species
GGAGGGAUGUCCGAGAGGUCGAAGGUGCGACACUCGAAAUGUCGUGUGGGGCAACCCACCUAGGGUUCGAAUCCCUAUCCCUCCGCCA